rnacentral:rRNA from 1 species
UACAGAGGGGGCAAGCGUUAUUCGGAAUUAUUGGGCGUAAAGGGCGCGUAGGCGGCUUUGCAAGUCACGGGUGAAAUCCCUCGGCUUAACCGAGGAACUGCCUGUGAGACUGCAUUGCUUGAGUCCGGGAGAGGUGAGUGGAAUUCCCAGUGUAGCGGUGAAAUGCGUAGAUAUUGGGAGGAACACCAGUGGCGAAGGCGGCUCACUGGACCGAAACUGACGCUGAGGCGCGAAAGCGUGGGGAGCAAACAGG